GCGCUCGUAGCUCAAUUGGAUAGAGCACUUGACUACGAAUCAAGAGGUUAGAGGUUCGAGUCCUCUCGAGCGCACCA
rnacentral:tRNA from 4 species